UGACGUCAGCCCGCCGUCGCCGCGAUAUUAAAAAAGGGUCAGAGGCGCCACGGCUGCUGCAAUGGAAACCCUGUUUAAUGUACCACAACUCCACAUUUGUGAAGUCGCCAUGUUUUCUUCUAGAAGUUUUAUUAUUUGAAGCUUUUAUAAGGAUUACAUAAACUAACGUGGCCCAUGAGCUGUGCAGCCCAACCGUACAGUGUACUACACUUUCCUCUUCUAAAUGGGAUUGUUGAAAC